rnacentral:misc_RNA from 1 species
UAUGUUUGGGUGCACUGAUGCAACACAGGUGUUGGCUGAGGUUCAAGAGGCGAAGAAGGCGUACCCACAAGCCUGGGUUCGUAUUAUCGGAUUCGACAACGUUCGUCAAGUCCAGUGCAUCAGCUUCAUUGCCUACAAGCCAGAAGGAUUCUAAAUUUCCAAACAUAUAAUCAAAAUGUUUGUUUGAUUUGUACCUAAGUCUUUAAUUUUUUUUCUUCAAUUUUUGUUUUGCAUUUUGUUCCUAUUUGUACCGGUGUAUUUUCUUCGAUUCCGA